GACAGAGGGUGCAAACGUUGUUCGGAAUUACUGGGCGUAAAGCGCGUGUAGGCGGCUAAGUAAGUCGGGCGUGAAGUCCCACGGCUCAACCGUGGAAGUGCACUCGAAACUGCAUAGCUAGAGUCCUGGAGAGGAAGGUGGAAUGCUUGGUGUAGAGGUGAAAUUCGUAGAUAUCAAGCGGAACACCGGUGGCGAAGGCGGCCUUCUGGACAGUGACUGACGCUGAGACGCGAAAGCGUGGGGAGCAAACAGG
rnacentral:rRNA from 1 species